rnacentral:rRNA from 1 species
GACGAACCGUACGAGCGUUAUUCGGAAUCACUGGGCUUAAAGGGUGCGUAGGCUGCGCGGAAAGUUGGGUGUGAAAUCCCUCGGCUCAACCGAGGAACUGCGCCCAAAACUGCCGUGCUCGAGGGAGACAGAGGUGAGCGGAACUUAGGGUGGAGCGGUGAAAUGCGUUGAUAUCCUAAGGAACACCGGUGGCGAAAGCGGCUCACUGGGUCUCGUCUGACGCUGAGGCACGAAAGCUAGGGGAACGAAUGGG